GGGGGUGUAAAGGUUUCGACAUACUACCAGAAAUAUAGAUAGCAAGUAGUGGAUUCUCGUUGGCCACUUAAAAAAACGGGAAACUAAAAAUAAACGCAGAAAAUAAUAAUGAGUACGCAUUAGCUGCCUAAGUUGCAGCUACACUUUUCUAAAAAUGCCUACGUUUUUGGAUAAAGUGCUAAUCUAGUAGGAAACAAAGCUACUUUUUCUUUGGAAGUAGUGGGUAUUAAACAAAGAUAUCGUCUUUAAAAACCUGUUUUUCGGUGUUUAAAGAAGGAAGAAAAAAGAAAAACUAAACUUGUAGAAAUCUAUAUGGAAAGUAUUAUGGACAGGAGUUCGAUUCUCCUCACCUCCACCA
rnacentral:tmRNA from 1 species